CAGUGUUUCAGCUCUUUUCAAAUUUGUCUAGCAGGCUUUCCAGUUUGUACAGGAAAGUUCUA
rnacentral:snRNA from 1 species